UUAAGGAGAAAAAAUGUAGUUAACAAAAGUUAGUAAAUGUUAGGCAUUGAUGGCAUAUUGUUCUUGUUAGGUGCCAUUGAGACAAUUUUUGACUCACAGCAACCCAGCGUGACAGAGUAGAACUGCCCCAUAGGGUUUUUUAGGCUGUCAUAUUUAUGGCCACCACUUAUCUGUCAGUUUGUCAUACUGUGUGGCUUCAGUGCUGCUGUGAUGCUAGAAGCUAUGCUACCAGUAUUUCAAAUACCAGCAGGGUCAUCCUUGGUGGGCCAGUGUUAUGGAUUGAAUUAUAUCCCCCCAAAAUACGUGUUGGAAACCCUAACCUCUAUGCCUGUGGUUACAAUCCCAUUUGGGAAUGGGUUGUCUUUGUUAUAUUAAUGAGGCAGGAUUAGUGCAGGAUGUAUCUUGAGUUAAUCUCUUUUGAGAUAUAAAGGAGAUUAAACAAACAAGUGAUAGAAGCAGGGACGGGGGAACAGAGAUGCCAACCCACAUGAAGGUCACCCAGUAGCAGAGGUUCAAAAGAGACAAGCCUUCCCCUAGAGCCAGAACCCUGAAUUCAGACAUCUAGCCUCCUAAACAGUGAGAGAAUAAAUUUCUGUUUGUUAAAGCCAUCCACUAUGGUAUUUCUGUUAUAGCAGCACUAGAUAACUAAGACAACAGGUGUCAGGAGAGCUUCCAGACUAAGACAGACUAGGAAGAAGGACCUGGAGAUCUACUUCGGAAAAAAACUGGUCAGUGAAAACCUCAAAUAUGUCUUGGAAGAAGUACAUCCAGAAUACCCCUUAGAAGUGAGGAUAGCAAGACUUCUUCUCACGUACUUUGGACACAUUAUCGGGAGGGAUUGGUCUCUGGAGAAGGACAUCACACUUGCUGAAGUAGAGGGUCAGCAAAAAAGAGGAAGACCCUCAAUGAGAUGGAUUGGCACAGUGGCUGCAACAAUGGGCUCAAACACUGCAAUGAUUGUGAGGAUGGCACAGGACUGGGCAGUGUUUUGUUCUGUUGUACACAGGGUUGCUAUGAGUUGGAACUGACUCGGCAGCACCUAACAACAACAGCAUUUACAGAAGGAGAUCGCCAGGUCUUUUCUCCCACGAAGCCACUGGGUGGACUCAAACCGCCAACCAUUCCAUGAGCAGCCUAGUACUUAAGUGUUGUGCCACCAGAGCUCCUUAUCAUCAAAUGAGACUUUCUCCAAGUAAUUCAAAAGACUUGUAAUUAAAAAAAAUGAAAACAGAAUAAUCUUUAAUGACAUGACUUCAUUUUAUUCAAUAUUAUGUCUCUGUACCACUUCAGGAGCCCUGGUGGCACAAUGGUUAAGAGCUUGACUGCUAACCAAAAGGUCAGCAAUUUGAAUCCACUAGCUUCUCCUUGGAAACCCAGUGGGGCAGUUCUACUCUGUCAUAGGAUCACUAUGAGUCGGAAUCAACUCGACAGCCACAGGCUUUGGUGCCACCUAAAACAAUCUGAACUACUAACUAAAAUCACCUUGCAGAUUAUCAAUGCUUUGUGCUCCACAUCUUAAGACCCACAAUUGCCUUUGUAGAGAAUUUUUUCUGCAGAAUUUUUAGACAGUUCGACAUGCUCCUGUUCAAAGCUCCAAAGGUUACAGGAAAGAAGCAGCCAGUACUACAUAGCCCUCUAACAUCCGUAGAGUGGUAUGCAAAUGACUGAGGUUUGGGAAAUACGCUUAUACUAGUUGGAGGAAAAGAGAACUGACAGGGGUGAAACACUAGUAAUAAUUUAGAAAUAGAGCUGAGCAGGGGUCAGCAAGCUUUUUCUGUAAAGAGCCCUAGAGUAAAUAUUUUAGGCUUUCGAGUCAUACAAUCUCCACUGCAACUACUCAACUCUGUCGUCGUGGUGCAAAAGCAGCCAUGACAACACCCAAAUGAGUAGGCGUGGCUGUGUUCUAAUAAAACUUUAUUUACAAAAACAGGCAGGAGGUCGGGAGUGUUUGCUGACCCAUGUUCUAGAACAUGUGUUUCGAGGGAGAUAAGGAAAAAUAAAAAAUGGCUCCAUUAUCAAGAGCAGCUGUGGUUUUAAUCUGGAAAUGGGCCUCUAUGUCUUUCUCUCCUUCCAACCUCUGCUAUUAGAAGAACCUUCUGAUUGGGCAGUGGGGCUACCUGGUCACAGCUGAUCAGAUGAGAGGUAGAUACCUGAUCUAAGAUGAGCCAAUCAGAUUCUCUCUACUAAGAAUUUGGAAUUAGGAUACUCAAGAGUCAUCUGUGUGGGGCCCUGAACAGAGAAACACACAGAUCUGCCUAGCAGUCAUUUCCCACCACAUGCAGGGGAAGAAGAAUGAAAGAGAUGUCUGAGGAAAAAAGAAUGUCAAGAAAGAGUGAGUACAGAGGCCUUGCUUUCCAGUUCCUUGUUCCAAUCUCUCACGAGGCUUAGCUAUUUCCAUUGAGAAACGUCCCUCUCUUUCCAAUACAUUUAUCUUUUUAAUUUACAUCCAUUUGAGUGGAUUUCUGUUACUUGCAGCUCCUAUAAGACAAAAAUUUUUGCUUGGGUAGCUCAAAUUCUUAAUAAGUAUUAAAAUUUCAGGAAGCUGAAUAGCAUCAGGUCCGAAUAUGACCUAAAACAUGACAAAUUCCAUUCUCUAUAAAGGGUGGUGCCUCUCACCUGUAUCAAAGACUCAUUUGGGGGUACUUGUUGCAAUGCAGAUUCCAAGCACCACCUCUCAUUCAGGAGAUGAGGGCUGUGGCUUGGGACUCUGCAUUUUAACAAGCACACCCCACUGCCUUGAUCCCAAUUACCAAAUUUGUUGCUAAGAGCAACUCUGAGGUGCUAUCAGAAUUGAUUUAUUUAAUGAGGAUAAAAAAAUCAGCUGCUUUGGAGUCGAUUCUGACUCAUGACAACCCCAUGGGUCUCAGAGUAGAACAGUGCUUCACAGGGUUUUCAAGGCUAUGACCUUUCAGAUGCAGAUUGCUAGGCUUUUUUCCAAGGUGCCUCUGGAUAGAUUCAAACCAUCAACCUUUUAGUUACCGGUCAAGUGCUUAACCACUUGCAACACCCAGGGACUCCCAAUAAGGUGGUUAGGAAGUGUCAACAGGUAAAACGAAAUCCUUUUAUCCUGAUUUUCCUACCACCUUCUCAGCAGUCACUAAUCAGGAUGAGAAAGGAACUUCCCUUUUCUCCUUACUAUUCUAAUCAAGAUUUCCUUUCCAAUAGGAAUCUCUCUGCCCCUCUUGGAGUUACACUUUGAGAGUUUCCACCCUGGGUGAAGAGUCUUAGGUUCUGUGGUGGUGUCAAAGCAUGGCUAUAAAAUGUGACACUCCUCUUAUCGGGAGACAGAGUAUAUGUCCCCUCCUGUCUAUGUUCUGCCUAAUUCCAGGCCUCCAUCUAGAAUUAUUGUAGGAAGUAAGUACUUGAGCUCUAGAACUCAAUGGCAGAUUAUAACUCCCAGCACCCUGAGAUGGAGCAAACUAUUGUCUCUGGCAGAAUCCUAAAGAUCUAGGAAGUAGGGCAGAACUGAUACCAAGUGGGGUGGUUGGAAGACAGGUACAAAACAUAGGUGAUGUUCAUAUUGCCAAAUGUUUGUGCUAGGGAGAAAAAGACAAUGUUGAAAGGGAGAUAGGUGACUAGUUUGGGACUAAUAAUGAUAACUGCCACCACUUAUCACUUACAAUGUGCGUUAUCUCAUUUAAUUCUCAUAACAACUGCGGGAGUGAAUAUUACUAUCCCCAUUUUAAAGAUGAAGCUAGGGCUUAGAGAAGUUAGGUGAGUUGUCCAAGGUCACUCCACUAAGAAGUAAAAGUAACACUUCCUUGGUCACCUGUCUCCAAACACCCUGUCUGAUUCCCCAAGCCCUAAGUUCCAAGUGUUCUGUUGUGAGGCUGUGCUGUUUGCAAAUGACUGCUGGGGAGUUUCAAAUUUGGUGCUAGAUCCUGCCCUGCUCCCCCUUCUCCCACCCAGCCCCCAUGGUGAGGCUUGAUGCCAUGGGCUAAUUCGUUGCCAUAGAACAGUCAUCUCCUUUCUCCAUUUCUUACACAACCACUAACAAAGCAUUGACUUGGUGAGAUGACCUUGGUCUGAGUCAGUGCUGCAGUCAUGAUUAUAGUUCAUCCAGCCAGCCCCAAAACAUCUACUGAGAGUUCUGUGCUAGGUGCUACAUUAUACACAAGACAGACAUGGCCCUGCUUCCAAGGAACUACCAUACAUAAGUGGCUGACUUCCUCAACCUGUGCCCUGAAGCUUUGGCAUGGGAGAGAAAAACAGCUGUGAAAGUUCCAGAAAUGGCAACGGGAAUUUUCUAAACUGUCCCUUUAAGUGGGAAUUGUCUUUUUAUUAAUUGUCUCAUGCAGUCUCUAGAACUUCCAUUUCAGUUAAUGCCAGCAAAAAGGGCGUGGGCUGUUUGCUCAGCUGUCCUUCUAUCUCCAGAGUAAAGAUUCCAAACAGAAUGAAAGGGUGUGUGGAAAUGAUGUUUUUAUCAAAUCCCAAGCCACAUCUGUUACCCAAGAAUCUUCUGGGAGAGAUGCGAUAAAUAGCAGAGUUCCAGUGACAGCUGAAAAAAUGGAAUACAGUAGCUCAGGGACCCCUGCCUGGAAAAUUUGUUGUGACAAACUUUGGCAAAUCUAAAUGGCAAACAGUGCCUGGAAUCUUGGCCCCUGAGCAUGGGACAGUAUUGCAUAAUGAUUAGAGCACACCCUUUAGAGUUAGAAAACCUAGUACGUGUCUAAGUCCGCCACAUACUAGCUGUGUGACCUUGGGAAAUUCACUCAACUUUUCUGAGUCUCAAUUUCCUCAUGUAUACAAUAGGGACAUCAACGAUCCUUAGCUUUUGGCAGUGCUGAGAGAGCUUUGUGAGAUACAGUGUACAGCAAGGUAUUCAGCACAGUGCUUGGCAAACGAUGGGUACCCUAAUACAUGGUGGUUACUGUCAACUUCCUCUUUUCAGAGAAUGGCCAAGGGGGUUGCUUAUGAUCUCUGUAUAUGGCAACAGCUUCCUGUUUUCAAGUGGCCAAGGUGCUUUGCCCUUAGGGAACUAUAUGCCCAUCUGCUUACUAAAGUGAGAGGGCAGAGACAGUUGGGGACCAAAGACUCUGCCCCCUAACAACUUCAACAGACACCUCCCAAAAGUCCAAUGCCUGCCAUUCUCAAUUUCUCUCUCUCAUACCCUUCAUCCAAUCAACAAGUUUUUUCAGCUCCACAUUCAAAAUAUAUGUUAAAUCCAGCCUCCUUCCUGACCUUCCAUACCAUUUGUCAUCAAGUCAACUCCAACUACUCAUGGUGGCCCCAUGUGUGUCCAUAGGGUUUUCAAUGGAUGAUUCUUCAGAAGUAGACUGCCAGGCCCUUCUUCCAAGGCACCUCUGGGUGGAUUUGAAUCUCCAGCCUUUCAGUUAGCAGAUCACUCCUUCCACCAGCUCCAGUAAAAGCUCCCAUGAUCCUUUGUGUCUUCAACAUUCUCACAGAAGGUCCACUGCAAGAGCUGAGUUGAAAGGUAAGAAAAAGAGGAACUAGAGUGAAGAUGGAUAAGAGUGAGCAAAUUGGAGAACUAUUUAUAAGGUAAAAUCUGACAGAACUUUGUGAUAGAUUGGAUGUGGGGGUAAAAUAUAGACAAGAAUCCAUCAGUUCAUAGAGCCAUGAUGAUGAUUAAAUUAUAUAAGACAUGUUAAGGGCUCAACAGAUAGUAAGAAUUCAAUACACUGUGUCUUCACAAUUGUUAGUGAAUUCUUUACCUUUUGAUGCUAUCUCAACUCUCACUAUCAUGAAGAUGUUCUAAUGUGUUCUAGGAUCUCUUGAAAGCCCUAAUUCUGAUUCUCCAACGUGUGUUCUUUUUGUUCAAACUUUGGAUCUAAUUUUCUAAGCAUGUGUUCAUACAUGUGUGCUUAGAUUUUAUUUUUGACGGCGGCCACACUAGUAUAAUUUGAAGUCACACGGUUUGGGAGAAUCAAACAUA